UAGAAGAUCAACCAAUGACUUGCGGUCAU
rnacentral:piRNA from 1 species